UUAUGUACAUGCGUUAAUGCACCGGAUCCCAUUAGAACUCCAUAGUUAAGCAUGCUCAAGCUAGAGUAGUACUGGGAUGGGUGACCUCCAGAGAAGUCCUAGUAUUUUACAUGCC
rnacentral:rRNA from 1 species